rnacentral:rRNA from 1 species
UACGACGGGGGCGAGCGUUGUUCGGAAUUACUGGGCGUAAAGCGUGCGUAGGCGGCUUUGUAAGUUGGGAGUGAAAUCCCCGGGCUCAACCCGGGAAUUGCUUUCAAAACUGCAGAGCUUGAAUCUCGGAGAGGAUAGCGGAAUUCCCAGUGUAGAGGUGAAAUUCGUAGAUAUUGGGAGGAACACCAGUGGCGUAAGCGGCUAUCUGGACGAGUAUUGACGCUGAGGCACGAAAGCGUGGGGAUCAAACAGG